rnacentral:snRNA from 1 species
AUCAGCAAAUAGUGUGAAGCAA